GGGAAAAAAAAUGAUAGUACCUUACUAUAAGUGUUGUCCAAUUAACUGGUGCCAGAAGACUCGGUAACGCCAGAAACGCAAACGUUAGUCGUCCUAAUCAGGCGUAAAGGGUAAGUAGGCUGCUUUUAAAGCUAGAAUCAAAUAGAGGAUAAGCCAAAUAAUAUUUAGAGUAGGGGUGAAAUCCUUAGAUACUAAAUGGAAUACUAAAGGUGAAAACAUUUAUCUAAAAUUGAUUGACGCUGAGGAACGAAGGUGAGAAUAGAAAAUAGGAUUUGAGACCCAGAUAUCUCUCACUGUCAACGAUGAAUGGUGGUUGUUAGUUCUAGUAACGAUGUUAACGCGAUAACCAUUCCGCCUUGCGAGUACGGUUGCAAAACUGAAACCAAAAAAAUUAGU
rnacentral:rRNA from 1 species